rnacentral:rRNA from 1 species
GAUGAACGCUGGCGGCGUGUCUAAUACAUGCAAGUCGAGCGAACAGACGAGGAGCUUGCUCCUCUGACGUUAGCGGCGGACGGGUGAGUAACACGUGGAUAACCUACCUAUAAGACUGGGAUAACUUCGGGAAACCGGAGCUAAUACCGGAUAAUAUAUUGAACCGUAUGGUUCAAUAGUGAAAGACGGUUUUGCUGUCACUUAUAGAUGGAUCCGCGCCGCAUUAGCUAGUUGGUAAGGUAACGGCUUACCGAGGCAACGAUGCGUAGCCGACCUGAGAGGGUGAUCGGCCACACUGGAACUGAGACACGGUCCAGACUCCUACGGGAGGCAGCAGUAGGGAAUCUUCCGCAAUGGGCGAAAGCCUGACGGAGCAACGCCGCGUGAGUGAUGAAGGUCUUCGGAUCGUAAAACUCUGUUAUUAGGGAAGAACAAAUGUGUAAGUAACUAUGCACGUCUUGACGGUACCUAAUCAGAAAGCCACGGCUAACUACGUG